rnacentral:rRNA from 1 species
AUUGAACGCUGGCGGCAUGCUUUACACAUGCAAGUCGAACGGCAGCGCGGGGGCAACCCUGGCGGCGAGUGGCGAACGGGUGAGUAAUAUAUCGGAACGUACCCAGGAGUGGGGGAUAACGUAGCGAAAGUUACGCUAAUAUCGCAUACGACCCAAGGGUGAAAGUGGGGAUCGCAAGACCUCAUGCUCAUGGAGCGGCCGAUAUCUGAUUAGCUAGUUGGUGAGGUAAAGGCUCACCAA